GUGUGUGUGUGUGUGUGAGCAGCAUAGAAAAUAAAAAAACAUGCCUGAUAAUUGACAUAGCAUGUCCUGGUGAUAACAGGAUUGAAGAGAAAGAAGAAAAAGUGAACAACUAUGACGAUUUGAAGUGGGAAAUAAGCAGACUGUGGGUAAUGAAGAGUGUGGACUGAAACCAAUAGUAAUUGGCAUGCUUGGAGGUAUCAGCAUUCAACUACCAGCAUAGCUUAAAAAGAUUGGUACAAAUGCAAAGAUAGAACACCAACAAAAAUCUUCAUUGCUUGGAACUGCAAGAAUUCUCUGCAGGAUUCUUGA